GGAGUCUGGGCCGUGUCUCAGUCCCAAUGUGGCCGUUCAACCUCUCAGUCCGGCUACCGAUCGUCGCCUUGGUGGGCCGUUACCUCACCAACUAGCUAAUCGGACGCGAGUCCAUCCUUCAGCGAUAAAUCUUUGACAUAUCUGUCAUGCGGCAAAUAUGUGUUAUGCGGUAUUAGCGCUCUUUUCAGGGCGUUAUUCCCCACUAAAGGGCAGGUUACUCACGCGUUACUCACCCGUCCGCCACUAAGUUAAGCAAGGAAAUCCACUAGCAAGCUAGCAUCAGUCCAGCGCUUAACUCCGUUCGACUUGCAUGUGUUAAGCACGCCGCCAGCGUUCGUCCUGAGCCAUGAUCAAACUACU
rnacentral:rRNA from 1 species